rnacentral:rRNA from 1 species
GACGAACGCUGGCGGCGUGCCUAAUACAUGCAAGUAGGACGCAGUUGCGAACGGGUGAGUAACGCGUAGGUAACUACCUAUUAGAGGGGGAUAACUAUUGGAAACGAUAGCUAAUACCGCAUACUAGUAGAUGGACCUGCGUUGUAUUAGCUAGUAGGUCGGGUAAUGGCCUACCUAGGCAACGAUACAUAGCCGACCUGAGAGGGUGGACGGCGAAACAGGGACUGAGAAACGGCCCAGACUCCUUCGGGGGGGAGCAGUAGGGAAUCUUCGGCAAUGGGGGGAACGCUGACCGAGCAACGCCGCGUGAGUGAAGAAGGUUUUCGGAUCGGAAAGCUCUGUUGUUAAGGAAGCGGUACUUACCGAGAAAGGAACGGCUAACUACGUGCCAGCAGCCGCGGUAAUAC